rnacentral:tRNA from 1 species
AUUUAAUUAAUAUAAAAAGUAUAUUAAGCUUCCAACUUAACAGUUUAGAAAUAAAUUAAAUA